UACGUAGGGGGCCAGCGUUGUCCGGAAUCAUUGGGCGUAAAGCGCGCGUAGGCGGUCAGGUAAGUCCGGUGUGAAAGUCAAAGGCUCAACCUUUGAAUGCCGCUGGAUACUGCUUGACUUGAGUCCGGAAGGGGCGAGUGGAAUUCCUGGUGUAGCGGUGAAAUGCGCAGAUAUCGGGAAGAACACCCGUGGCGAAGGCGGCUCUCUGGGACGGUACUGACGCUGAGACGCGAAAGCGUGGGGAGCGAACAGG
rnacentral:rRNA from 1 species